UACGUAGGGUGCAAGCGUUAAUCGGAAUUACUGGGCGUAAAGCGUGCGCAGGCGGUUGUGUAAGACAGAGGUGAAAUCCCCGGGCUCAACCUGGGAACUGCCUUUGUGACUGCAUGGCUAGAGUACGGUAGAGGGGGAUGGAAUUCCGCGUGUAGCAGUGAAAUGCGUAGAUAUGCGGAGGAACACCGAUGGCGAAGGCAAUCCCCUGGACCUGUACUGACGCUCAUGCACGAAAGCGUGGGGAGCAAACAGG
rnacentral:rRNA from 1 species